rnacentral:rRNA from 1 species
UUUGAAAUCUAGUAGCCUUCGGCUGCUCGAGUUGUAAUCUAGAGAAGUGUUUUCCGUGCCGGCCCAUGUACAAGUCCCUUGGAACAGGGCGUCAUAGAGGGUGAGAAUCCCGUCCUUGACAUGGACCCCCGGUGCUCUGUGAUACACUUUCAACGAGUCGAGUUGUUUGGGAAUGCAGCUCAAAAUGGGUGGUGAAUUCCAUCUAAAGCUAAAUAUUGGCGAGAGACCGAUAGCGAACAAGUACCGUGAGGGAAAGAUGAAAAGCACUUUGGAAAGAGAGUUAAACAGUACGUGAAAUUGUUGAAAGGGAAACGAUUGAAGUCAGUCAUGCUCUUUGGUAUUUAUAUCAUUGAGUGGGGUCAACAUCAGUUUUGAGCGAUGGAUAAAGGCACUAGGAAGGUAGCACUCUCGGGUGAACUUAUAGCCUAGCGUCAUAUACAUUGUUUGGGACUGAGGAACGCAGCAUGCCUUUAUGGCCGGGAUUCGUCCACGUACAUGCUUAGGAUGUUGACAUAAUGGCUUUAAAC